rnacentral:rRNA from 1 species
CAAUCUGCCGAGAAAAACUUCUAUGCGUUGAACCUGUUCUGCCCGUACCGCAAACCGACACUGGUAGGCGAGGAGAGUAUCCUCAGGCGAACGAGAGAACCUUCGUUAAGGAAUUAGGCAACAUGUACCCGUAACUUAGGGAGAAGGGUAGCCCGCGGUGAUGUUGUCAUACGAUGAUGUCAUUGUGGGUCGCAGAUGAGAGGCUCUAGCGACUGGUUAACUAAACCACAGGUCUCUGCGAAGCCGUAAGGCGACGUAUAGGGGCUGACACUUGCCCAGUGCUGGAAGGUUAAAGGGAGAGGUUAGCGCAAGCGAAGCUUUGAACUGAAGCCCCAGUGAACGGCGGCGGUAACUAUAACCGUCCUAAGGUAGCGAAAUUCANNUAAGGUAGCGAAAUUCCUUGUCAGGUAAGUUCUGACCCGCACGAAUAGUGUAACGACUGGAGCACUGUCUCAACGAGGGACUCGGCGAAACUGAAUUAAUGGUGAAGAUGCCAUUUACCCGCGCCCGGACAAAAAGACCCCGUGGAGCUUUACUGUACCUUGGCAUUGCGCUAGGGCUUUGACUGUGUAGCAUAGGUGGGAGGCUUUGAAGCUGGUGCGCUAGCAUCGGUGGAGCCGUCAGUGAAAUACCACCCUGUUGGAGUUUUGGCCCUAACCGUACUCCGUAAUCCGGAGACGAGACAGUGCCAGGCGGGCAGUUUGACUGGGGCGGUCGCCUCCUAAAAUGUAACGGAGGCGCCCAAAGUUUCCCUCAGGCUGAAUGGAAACCAGCCGUUGAGUGUAAAGGCACAAGGGAGAUUGACUGCAAGACCUACAAGUCGAGCAGAGACGAAAGUCGGGCUUAGUGAUCCUACUGAUCUUGGUGGAAAGGCAGUAGCUUAACGGAUAAAAGCUACCCCGGGGAUAACAGGCUAGUGAGGCCCAAGCGUCCAUAGCGACGGCCUCGCUCGGCACCUCGAUGUCGGCUCGGCGCAUCCUGGGGCUGGAUAAGGUCCCAAGGGUUGGCCUGUUCGGCCAUUAAAGCGUUACGUGAGCUGGGUUCAAACCGUCGUGAGACAGGUUGGUCUCUAUCCGGCGUGGGCGCAGGGGAUUUGAGAGGAGCUGUUCUUAGUACGAGAGGACCGGAAUGGACGUACCUCUGGUGUGCCAGUUGUUCCGCCAGGAGCAUCGCUGGGUAGCCACGUACGGCAAAGAUAACCGCUGAAAGCAUCUAAGUGGGAAACUUGCCUCAAGAUGAGAUCCCCCCGAAGACCGCCAGUAGACUACUGGUUUGAUAGGCGACAGGUGUAAGGCCGGCAACGGUUUUAGCUAAGUCGUACUAACGGUCGUUUGGCUUAAACAU